CGAAUAGAUUAGCAUGGCCCCUGUGGAAGGAUGACAUGCAAAUUUUUGAUGUAUUCCAUAUUAUU
rnacentral:snRNA from 1 species